AUGCUCCCUUUGGCAGCAGAUAUAUCAGACUUGGAAAGACACAGAGAGGAUUAGCAUGGCCCCUGCCCAAGGAUAAUAUGCAAAUCAUGAAAUAGCACAUAAUUUU